ACGGGAGGCAGCAGUGAGGAAUAUUGGUCAAUGGGCGAGAGCCUGAACCAGCCAAGUAGCGUGAAGGAAGACUGCCCUACGGGUUGUAAACUUCUUUUGACCGGGGAUAAAACGGGCGACUGGUCGCCCCUUGCAGGUACCGGUUGAAUAAGGACCGGCUAAUUCCGUGCCAGCAGCCGCGGUAAUACGGAAGGUCCGAGCGUUAUCCGGAUUUAUUGGGUUUAAAGGGAGCGCAGGCGGGAUGUCAAGUCAGCCGUAAAAUCGCCGGGCUCAACCCGGUCUCGCGGUUGAAACUGACGUUCUUGAGUGCGGAAGAGGAAGGUGGAACUCGUGGUGUAGCGGUGAAAUGCAUAGAUAUCACGAAGAACUCCGAUUGCGAAGGCAGCCUUCUGGUCCGUUACUGACGCUGAGGCUCGAAGGUGCGGGUAUCAAACAGGAUUAGAUACCCUGGUA
rnacentral:rRNA from 1 species